GAAAUGCGAUAAGUAAUGUGAAUUGCAGAAUUCAGUGAAUCAUCGAAUCUUUGAACGCACAUUGCGCCCCUUGGUAUUCCAUGGGGCAUGCCUGUUCGAGCGUCAUUUGUACCUUCAAGCUUUGCUUGGUGUUGGGUGUUUGUCUCGCCUCUGCGCGCAGACUCGCCUCAAAACAAUUGGCAGCCGGCGUAUUGAUUUCGGAGCGCAGUACAUCUCGCGCUUUGCACUCAUAACGACGACGUCCAAAAAGUACAUUUUUUACACUCUUGACCUCGGAUCAGGUAGGGAUACCCGCUGAACUUAAGC
rnacentral:misc_RNA from 1 species